AGUAUUGAGUGAUAUCUAGAUUUAAGAAUUUUUGUUAGAAUUAAGAAUUUUAUUAUAAAUACGAAAAGGAAAAAUAAAGAAGUCAGACUUGUGCUGACAUCCAUCAAACUUACUCUAUCAGCAAGCCAACAAAACAUAAAAGUAACAUAUUACAUGGCGAUCCUGCCAAAUCUUGCUCUCUAGUCAGCAAGUAUCCUGCGUUCCAUCCGCAGUUCCUGCGUUCUAUCCGCAGUUAAAAAAAAAAUCAGCCGCAGAUCCUUGCUAGACAUUUUUGAAGACACUGCCAUACUGUCCGGGCAGUCCGAUCCAAGCCGUGGAUUAAAAACAGAUGUCGGGACCGCAGCCACUAAUGAUUGACGAGUAUAGAAGAAGAAACAGGCUAAAUAGUGCAAAUGAGGAUGAAAUAAAGAUCCCGAAGGUGACCAGACCGAGGACGAGAGGAGGUUACACUUGGAGGCUUAAAAAGGAGAGAGCUCUCCUGACACAAAAAUAAAUAAAACGCUGCAUCAAUCUGCAGACGUUAGGACCAGUAAGCGCGUUGCGCUCGUGGUCAACAGAUUAUAUAUAUUUUUUUUAAAUAACAAUAACAAAACCUAUGACUUUAUUAAAAAUUAAAUAAAAAAAAAA